rnacentral:rRNA from 1 species
UACGUAGGCAGCAAGCGUUGUUCGGAGUUACUGGGCGUAAAGAGUGCGUAGGUGGUGCCCUAAGUCUGUUGUGAAAUCUCCCGGCUUAACUGGGAGGGUGCGGUGGAAACUGGGGUGCUUGAGUGUGGGAGAGGUAAGCGAAUUCCUGGUGUAGCGGUGAAAUGCGUAGAUAUCAGGAGGAACACCUGUGGUGUAGACAGCUUACUGGACCACUUCUGACGCUGAGACACGAAAGCGUGGGUAGCAAACAGG